GACGAACGCUGGCGGCGUGCUUAACACAUGCAAGUCGAACGGAGUGGCGAACGGGUGAGUAACACGUGGGUGACCUGCCCUGCACUUCGGGAUAAGCCUGGGAAACUGGGUCUAAUACCGGCUAGGGUGGGAUGGGCCCGCGGCCUAUCAGCCUGUUGGUGGGGUAAUGGCCUACCAAGGCGGCAACUGGUAGCCGGCCUGAGAGGUUGGACGGGCCCAUUGGGACUGCGACACGGCCCAGACUCAUACGGGAAGCAGCAGUGGGGAAUAUUGCACCAUGGGCGGAAGCCUGAUGCAGCGACGCCGCGUGGGGGAUGACGGCCUUCGGGUUGUAAACUCCUUUCACCAUCGACGCGGUAGAUGGAGAAGAAGCACCGGCUAACUACGUGCCAGCAGCCGCGGUAUAC
rnacentral:rRNA from 1 species